AUUGAACGCUGGCGGCAUGCUUUACACAUGCAAGUCGAACGGUAACAGGCCGCAAGGUGCUGACGAGUGGCGAACGGGUGAGUAAUGCAUCGGAACGUGCCCAGUCGUGGGGGAUAACUAUCCGAAAGGAUAGCUAAUACAGCAUACGAUCUGCGGAUGAAAGCGGGGGACCUUCGGGCCUCGCGCGAUUGGAGCGGCCGAUGUCAGAUUAGGUAGUUGGUGUGGUAAAGGCUCACCAAGCCAACGAUCUGUAGCUGGUCUGAGAGGACGACCAGCCACACUGGGACUGAGACACGGCCCAGACUCCUACGGGAGGCAGCAGUGGGGAAUUUUGGACAAUGGGCGCAAGCCUGAUCCAGCAAUGCCGCGUGCAGGAAGAAGGCCUUCGGGUUGUAAACUGCUUUUGUACGGAACGAAACGGCUCUGGUUAAUACCUGGGGCUAAUGACGGUACCGUAAGAAUAAGCACCGGCUAACUACGUGCCAGCAGCCGCCGUAA
rnacentral:rRNA from 1 species